CUAGCAGUAAACGAUGUGGACAUGGCGUAGGAGGGUUCAAAUCCUUUUGUGCCGGAGCGAACGCGAUAAGUCCACCACCUGGGGACUACGGCCGCAAGGUUAAAACUCAAAGGAAUUGACGGGGGCCCGCACAAGCAGCGGAGCGUGUGGUUUAAUUCGAUGCUACACGAAGAACCUUACCAGGGUUUGACAUGUAUGUAGUAGUGAGACGAAAGUGGAACGACCCUUCGGGGAGCAUACACAGGUGU
rnacentral:rRNA from 1 species